ensembl:ncRNA F27D4.10 ncRNA
AGGACAACGGGAAUAUGAGGGAGAAAAGAGAGAUUGUAUCUUAUAAAUGUGUGUAUCUUUUGAAUCAAGGACCUCUGUUGACUGGU